AACAGGUCUUCGGAUGCUGACGAGUGGCGAACGGGUGAGUAAUACAUCGGAACGUGCCCGAGAGUGGGGGAUAACGAAGCGAAAGCUUUGCUAAUACCGCAUACGAUCUCAGGAUGAAAGCAGGGGACCGCAAGGCCUUGCGCUCACGGAGCGGCCGAUGGCAGAUUAGGUAGUUGGUGGGAUAAAAGCUUACCAAGCCGACGAUCUGUAGCUGGUCUGAGAGGACGACCAGCCACACUGGGACUGAGACACGGCCCAGACUCCUACGGGAGGCAGCAGUGGGGAAUUUUGGACAAUGGGCGCAAGCCUGAUCCAGCCAUGCCGCGUGCAGGAUGAAGGCCUUCGGGUUGUAAACUGCUUUUGUAUGGAACGAAAAGACUCCUUCUAAUAAAGGGGGUCCAUGACGGUACCGUAAGAAUAAGCACCGGCUAACUACGUGCCAGCAGCCGCGGUAAUACGUAGGGUGCGAGCGUUAAUCGGAAUUACUGGGCGUAAAGCGUGCGCAGGCGGUGAUGUAAGACAGAUGUGAAAUCCCCGGGCUCAACCUGGGAACUGCAUUUGUGACUGCAUCGCUGGAGUGCGGCAGAGGGGGAUGGAAUUCCGCGUGUAGCAGUGAAAUGCGUAGAUAUGCGGAGGAACACCGAUGGCGAAGGCAAUCCCCUGGGCCUGCACUGACGCUCAUGGCCGAAAGCGUGGGGAGCAAA
rnacentral:rRNA from 1 species